UAACUCUAGAGAUGUAAAGCCCUCAGAGGGACUGAGGCCAUUUCUUUUUUUACAGCAGAAUGGGGACCUACGGAUAAUUAUUAAGCUAUAUAAAACGAACUUAUAUUUCUUAGACACCUCUAGACGGAGAGAUGAGAUGAAGGAACUCACAGAGCCUGAUUGCUAUGAUUUUAGACGACCAUUACUUGACAAGCCGGGAGAACCCUGCAGUUCCUGACCUUUCAGGAAAUUACCGGAUGUGACGUAAAGUUGAAUACAGUGAAAGUGAAUUUUGUACAACUUCUGAGAAGGGCUUCAAGAUGUCUUGUAGCUUCUGGGCUUGCAUUCUUGGAACAGUGAGACCACAUGGAGAGAGAGGUCAGACAAGAGUUAGCACCGAUCUCCAGAUGCAUGAGUGAAGCUGUUUUGGACCAUCCAGCCCCAGGAACUGCAGGCAGCCUCAAGAAACUGAAGACAGCCUCCAGCUGGAGCCAGCAAGAAGCUGGGGCCAUCAGUCCUACGACAGGGAAAUAAAUUCUGCCAAAAAACGAUGUGAGCUUGGAAAUGGAUUCUUCCCCAGUCGUUCCUCCAGAUGAGAAUACAGCCCAGCUGACACCUUGAUUACAGCCUUGCAGAAGACUCAGACAAGCUGUGCCCAGACUCUUGACCACAGAAACUUUGGGAUAAUAAAUGCAUGUUGUUUUAAU
rnacentral:lncRNA from 1 species